rnacentral:rRNA from 1 species
CACGUAGGGCGCAAGCGUUGUCCGGAAUUAUUGGGCGUAAAGAGCUCGUAGGCGGUCUGUCACGUCGGCUGUGAAAACUUGGGGCUCAACCCCAAGCCUGCAGUCGAUACGGGCAGACUAGAGUCCGGCAGGGGAGACUGGAAUUCCUGGUGUAGCGGUGAAAUGCGCAGAUAUCAGGAGGAACACCGGUGGCGAAGGCGGGUCUCUGGGCCGGAACUGACGCUGAGGAGCGAAAGCGUGGGGAGCGAACAGG